UACGUAGGUGGCAAGCGUUGUCCGGAUUUACUGGGCGUAAAGGAUGCGUAGGUGGAUAUUUAAGUGGGAUGUGAAAUACCCGGGCUCAACUUGGGUGCUGCAUUCCAAACUGGAUAUCUAGAGUGCAGGAGAGGUAAGUGGAAUUCCUAGUGUAGCGGUGAAAUGCGUAGAGAUUAGGAAGAACACCAGUGGCGAAGGCGACUUACUGGACUGUAACAGACACUGAGGCAUGAAAGCGUGGGGAGCAAACAGG
rnacentral:rRNA from 1 species